CCCCGGCAUGGCAGCACGGCGCACGGACGCCUUUUCUCUCUUCGACGGUGACGCCAUGAUGGACUGACAGUGCGACGGUGUAGCAAAGCAUAGACGAUUAGACAUCUUCAAGGCUCAAGCAGAUUUCUGGGUUCGGUUUCAUUUUUCGACUUUUCGAUUUCGGAUUCUUCAAGAUUGAAGGUUAGGUCCCCAUUUUUUUAAUUUGAGGUUCCAGACCGGGUUCAGGUCCUUGUACUUGACCUGGGUUCGGAGCCUCUAGUUUUCAAAUUCGAUUUCGACGAAUGGGGACGAUGAGCCUUUGCCGUCUUUGGGCAUGAGGUUGUGGGCCGCCACCACCUCCACCACAAGGCAUUCUUUGCCGGUGCUGUUGCUCACAGUCAUGGAUGGGUUUUGGUGAAGAAGAAAAAGAAGAAGGAAACAGAGAAAAUGAAAGAUGAAGUAGAGAACAGAGGAAUAGAAAAAACAGAGGAAGCAAACAAUGAAUGAAACAGAGCAGAGAGCUAGCUAGAGAGAGAGAGAGAGAGAGGCGUAUAGGGAACACAAUGUGACAAAUUCGGAGGCGUAAUAAAGCCAGAAAACCACCAUGCGAAUCAGAAGAGCGUGCAGCUCAGAGAUAGAGAGAUAAAUAAAAAGUCAGAGAGAGAGAGAGAGAGCUCUGUUUCAGAGAGAGUACAGAGGAGGAGCUCACUCUUUCUGAGUUGGUAGAAGGAAAAGACAGUCAACAAUCCCACUCUUUUUUUUUUUUUUUAACUUUGUCAAGGGAACCCAAAGGCUUCCUAGGCCCAAGAUAAAUCCCUUUGAACAGUCCCACUCUUUAGUUCAACGUGUGAUGUCCACGGACCAAAAAAGACAAAAAAAAAAAGAGGAGGGAUCUGACCUAAGGGCA